rnacentral:lncRNA from 1 species
GGCAGAACUAGGAACUGGCUCAGGAAUGGAUGAGAAACAAGCACCCCUUUGCUCCCAGGAUGUGAGGAGAAGAUGAUCCUUGAAAUGGUGAGAGGCCCCGAUCCUGUUAUUACAAAGGAUGGGGGUUCAAGCCACUCUUUGUAACGUUAAGUACAGGUGAAAGCAGGGGCUGCAGGCUCUGCAGACCCCUGGGUGACAGUUACAGCACCAAGGAGUAACAGGUGGAGAUCAAGAGCACAAGCUCAGGUUCUGGAGUCAGGCUCACCUUGGUUCAGUUUUCAGCCAACUGGUGGGAACACCUACCCUGUGACCUCAGACAAAUUACCUAAUCUUUCCUAGGCAUCAGUUUUCUCAUCUAUAAAAGAGAAAUAACCAGAACAAUACCCUAAGCAUGACCUGUUGUUACACUGUGUUCGUUAAAAGAAGGACCCCAAGGCACAGCAGCGUCAGACACCCUUCAGUGUGGCUGCUGGUUAGACCAGGGGUGUUUCCAGCGACUAUGCAUUUGCCCAACAGCAGCCCAAGCAAAACUGUUCCCAGGGCUCUCGUGUCUGUGCCUCACUUGACCCUUGGCUCCUGACUGAGCCUGUUUCCCCAGCCUUCAGUGGGUUCUCGGAGCUACCGCAUCAGCUCCUUGUCUGUUGUCAGUUUCUGUUGCUGGUGACCAACAGCACUGAGGCAUACAGGAGGGCUUCAGAAGAAUCUGGUAGCAGUGUUCACCUCUGGGAGAGGGGAUGCAUUUUUCAUCGCGUACUGCUUUAUGUUUGGUUCUUUUAACCAUGUGCAUUCACUACUCUUUCAAAUUAAAAAUAGUUUAAAGGAGUAUCAUUUAAAUGAAUCUACUGUUUACAGUGUCCCAACAGAGCAUCAUCUGGACAAGAAAACUGUGGACUUGAGUACAGUAGUAGCAGCAGGUGCAGGAUGGAAGGUUAAGUUUUGCUCUCUAACCUUGGCUCAUAUCCUCUUGCAGGCGAGAGAGUCUGAACCUGGAGUGUUGGGGCCAGAAUUCGAGAGGCAUUCGAUUCAUCCAACCAACCAGAUGUGCUUGCUGUCCAAGCGGUGAGUGCAAGUGGCUGCAGUGAGAAAACUGAACAAGAGAUGCCCCUGCCCUCCAGGAGGACACAGACCACAGGACUUAGCAAAGAUUUGCUCUCAAAGGAAUGUUCACGGAGUGCAGUGAGGACAACAUCUGAAGACGUGAGUUUUUAAAAUUGCCAAAACUGUAGCUAUUGUCAGCAAAAUGUAGACUGUGAAAGAAAACUCUAUAGAACAAAAACAACAACAAAACCUGAGUUUUCAUUAAAGAAAUUGCAAGGGGAAAGAAGAGGUGGAGAGAAAUCUAGAAAUUAAGAGAGACUGAUAAGGCAUAACAACCAAUUGUAAUGUAAGGACCUUAUUUGAAUCAUAAUUUAAGCCAAUGAUUACUGAAAAUUCUAACAUUUAAAAAUCAGAAAUUGACAUGCUGGGUAUUUGAUGAUGUUGAGAAAUUAUCGUUAAUAUCUUAGGUGAGGGUACUGAGAUUAUUUAUGGUUGAUGAAAUAGUACGUCUUGGACUUGUUUUAGAACAAUGUGAGGGGGUAAGUGGAUGGGGAUGUAGAUGAGUCAUGAUUGGCCAAGGACUGGUCUUACUGGGACUCUGCCUAUGGAGUCAUUAUAUUUUUAUGUAUUUGUUUUGUGUGUGUUGAACACUUCUGUUAAGAUUUGCUUAUUUUUUAAUCACCAGGAAAGGUAGAGAGGUGAUGAAAAUCGUGCAGUUCUCUGCCUGCAGAGAGGCUCAAGUUCAGCACGAGACUCUCCUUAGAUCCUCCCUUACUUUGGUCACAUGUGCAGGACCAUGCUUCUCAUUUCAUGUCAUUUCCUUGGCCUGGGGAUUCUGGUUCUUUUUCUGGGCAUGGUGAGAGAUUUUGAACUGCUCUAGCUGCCUUUGGGAGGGAGACAGACCACAUUAGCCUCCUUAGCCCAGGACUCCACUCUCGGGGCUGGACCUUCAGCUACAGAUUGACAUCCACCUGCAGGACCUAGGGGCAAGCCAGCCUGCGGAAGGGCCAGAUGGUCUAGAAGCAGUAGGAAGGGAGCAGCUCACUUUCUGCUGGGCGUGAGGAGGCUUCUCAGGAAAUGUUCAAAUCCUAAAGCAAACUAGAACCAUUUGGAUGCCCCAAAAUAUGUGACGCUGUCCCUCCUUGCUUUCUCUGGAUGUUUCUCUCUCUCUGGGGACAUGCUUUCCCAUAUUUCUUCCUCUCUUCUGUCACCCCAGUCUGUACCAACAUUCCUACAUUCCAAGUUCUCCAUAAUUUGGCACCUGAGUCUACCCUGGACAGGAACAGAUAGGCAGAAAUAGCAAUGCAAUACCAUGUGGGGACUAUCGGGUUGGUCAGGGUGUUUUAGAUGAUAAUUAAUGCCCAAUGUUAGUGAAGGUGCUGGGAAGGAGACAUGGCACCCCCUCUUGGAAGGGCAAUCUGCCACUUGGUAUCUAAAGCUUUAAAAAUGUGCAUAUCUUUUGCCACAGUAUUUCUCCUUCUGGGAAUUUAUCCUACAGGAAUUAGCUAUGCACAAAAUUAAUGUGUGAGAAUGUUCCUGAUUGAACUAUUAGGGAAAAAAAAAAAAUUUGUGAACAACCUACAUAUCCAGCGACAAAGGACUAUCUAACUCCUGUUAAAGCCAGGCAGUGGAGUACCAUGGAGACAUCAAAAUCAUGUCUUAGUUGCAUAUUUAAGACCAGGGAAACAUUCAUACUAUAUUAAAUAGAAAAGCAGAUUAUCGAACCGUAUAUAUCCUAUGAUGGUAACCAUUCAAAGGCAAAAAAACAAUAUAUACCAAAGCAUUGUCUGUGAUUUCUGAAUUACAAGAUUAGGUACAAUACUAAUAUAAUUUUAAUAUGCUUCUUUGUAAUUCUCUGCUUUUUCCAAUAUUUUUUCCACUGCUUACUUUUUAAAUCAGGGGAGGAAAAACCACCUCACUUUAUUUACCAAAAGAAGUAAAACAAGUACAGAGCAAAGUAAAUGUUUGUGGCUGUCUUCUCCCAUCUCACUACCCAUCAGACUGAAGGACCAUAUCUACAAAUGACAACACUUAGAAUAAUAAUUAUAGCAAACGCUCCC